GUGUCAGCCGCCGCGGUAACACGGGGGGAGCAAGCGUUGUUCGGAAUCACUGGGCGUAAAGGGCGUGUAGGCGGUUGGAUAAGUGGAAUGUGAAAUCCCUCGGCUCACCCGAGGACCUGCAUCCCAAACUGUCCGACUUGAGUAUGGGAGAGGAUGAGGGAAUUCCUGGUGUAGCGGUGAAAUGCGUAGAUAUCAGGAGGAACACCGGUGGCGAAGGCGCUCAUCUGGCCCAAUACUGACGCUGAGGCGCGAAAGCUAGGGGAGCAAACGGGAUUAGAAACCCCUGUAGUCC
rnacentral:rRNA from 1 species